rnacentral:rRNA from 1 species
GUAGGGUGCGAGCGUUAAUCGGAAUUACUGGGCGUAAAGCGUGCGUAGGCGGUUGGCAAAGUCAGCUGUGAAAGCCCCGGGCUUAACCUGGGAAUUGCGGUUGAAACUAGUCGACUAGAAUUUGGCAGAGGGGGGUGGAAUUCCACGUGUAGCAGUGAAAUGCGUAGAGAUGUGGAGGAACACCGAUGGCGAAGGCAGCCCCCUGGGCUGGAAUUGACGCUCAGGCACGAAAGCGUGGGGAGCAAACAGGAUUAGAUACCCUGGUAGUCCACGCCCUAAACGAUGUCAACUAGGUGUUGGGCGAGCAAUCGCUUGGUACCGCAGCUAACGCGUGAAGUUGACCGCCUGGGGAGUACGGUCGCAAGAUUAAA